rnacentral:rRNA from 1 species
UACAGAGGUCCCAAGCGUUACUGAGAAUCACUGGGUUUAAAGGGUGCGUAGGUGGUCCGUUAAGUAUCUUGUGAAAUCCCCCGGCUCAACCGGGGAAUGGCUGGAUAUACUGGCGGUCUUGAGCGAUCUAGGGGCAGAUGGAACAAGUGGUGGAGCGGUGAAAUGCGUAGAUAUCACUUGGAACGCCAAAGGUGAAAACAGUCUGCUGGGGAGCUGCUGACGCUGAGACACGAAAGCGUGGGUAGCAAACAGG